AGUUGAUCUAGUGAUGAGUUUAUACACACACACGGCAUGGGUCUAGCUAGGACGACUUUGUAAAGUCAGAAUGCAUCGGUAACAAUGCACCCCCCCCCCCCCAAAAAGAGAGAAAGAGACCUGUAGCAACGCUCAGCUGAUUCAUCAGGAAAACCACAAGCAUGUUUAAAAAGAGGAACAUUCAGCAAACUCUGAGGCAGCAGCUUCCUGAACGCAAUGGGUGCUCAUUUUACUUGAAACAUGAACUGGGUUUAGAGAAGGCUGUGGCACUCCUGUGACUGCUUUUCACAGAAAAAGCAGGCCUGCCAUGUCUCUGGUGCAGAUCUCCAGCAGUGAAUGUGACAGGGGCUCUGGUGCUGUAAACCAGGUGGCAGCUGGAGUGUACGUGGCAUGCUGGCCAGUCAUCACGUGCUAUUUGUGUCACAGCACCGGUCCAGUUACACCACACAGUUCAGGAGAGGGAACAGGAGACACACCACCAGCAAAUACCUGAGGAGCUUGAACGCAGAAGCACUGGGGACGACCACCGGCUGAGCCAGCAGAUGUGUUCUCCGAGCUGCAGUGGUGCCUCCCAACUUGCCCAGGAACGACUCCUCCUUUUUCAUCUUGCUGUUAGACUGCACGGUCGGUGAUCGUAUUGGAGUCGAACUAGACAUGCUAUUCUCGUUUCAACCCAACCAAAACAACAACACGAAAUCCGUUUUGUAAAGGAGCAGCCUCCCUGAGCGGCAGCACACCACAAAGCAUUUGCUGAUCGGGGUAGGUGUUCAAGGAGGAGGAACGUGAGCGAGCGAGCGCAAAAAGACGAAGGUGAAGGUAAGACGAAAGAAAGCAAUUGCUACUCGUGCUGGGCAGACCGGCAUGGUAUUUGUUUGGGUGUUCAAGAGUUGUUUUUGAUUACUCUUUUAAAUUUCUCUGUGAGCAUUGUUUUUGUUUAAUUAUUUUUGUUUGAAUAAAAACAGCCCCAGCACUUUCAACCCCUCAGCUUCCGGGCAGGUGAGGUGAUAAAUGCAUCAGUAGAUGCAUUAAAAAACCUCUGUCAAGAUGAAGAUUUCUGGGAUGAACACUAUAGUGUAGCUGUAGAUGUGCAUCCUACAAAGAGACAGAGAACCACAAGUAAGCAGCUAGCUGAUUCUGUUGUUCUCAACACUAGGACAUUCAGACUCUGCUAAUACUGCUAAAUCUGACUGCAGUCUGACAUUAAAGAGACCUAUGUUAAACAUUCUAGAUAGAGCAAUGUCAGAGAUGGACACAGAUUUUCUCAGAAGAAUCUGGAUUUAAUGAAGUCUUUGUCCUGCCUUGUACCCCAAUCUGGUACAUUUCUUGAUGCUACCAUGCUAGAGCCUCUGCAGAUGAUAGCUGUUGUUGACAAAAGUGACAUGGCCAAUGAAAUUGUUGUAACUAAACCUAUGUUGUUUAAAAAACUCAACAAAGAUGCCGACUGUACUGCUGUCUGUAAACCUCUGCAUGGAUAUGCAGGUGCAUUUCCUUUGCUGCAUAAGGAAUUACCUAUAAGCCUAUAUUAUUAGUGCAACAAAAAAUGACUAUGUUUAAAGGUAUGUGUCUAAAUGGUGGCCCCUCUAAGAGGUCUACUGGCCCCCCAUCCUAAAGCAGCUGGAGCCAGACCUGCUUCCGGGUCUGGGUACGUCACCACACAAGCCGUCUGCCACAGUUCCUUAUUCUGGGUAAAUGCAUCAAACUGUUUGGCACACGGGAUAUGCAAUUCACAGGAAUCUGGCCUUGCUCCUCUCCCUCUCCC